rnacentral:lncRNA from 1 species
CACAGCUCCCAGCCCAGGCUCGCUCACAGAGCCCCCACCACAGGGUGGGGCAGCUUCCUGGGAGGGCCAGCAUGCUAGACUGCCUCAGACUGCUUCGGGUCCUCAUGGUGAAUGGCACCUGACUUUGCCCUGAGACCCUCAGGGAGACUCUGGGCAUGGGGCAGAGAAGUCCCUGCACAGCCUCCCUUGGCCUGAGAGCCCAACUCCCCGGCAGCAACACCCAUGGUGGGUGGCCUAGGGCCAACAUCUUCAAGAGUGUCUUCUGUGGAGACCAGGAGGGAACAGGGACCUAGAAAAGCUAUAGGGCCCCAGUGCCAUGCCCGGGCUCACCCUGCUCACCCUGCUCCUGGGAAGUGGGGUGGGUGGAGAAGCACAUCUGCACCUCUGCAAUCUUUUGGGGUCCUCAGGGGGUGGAGGCAGGGGUGUCUCUCCCCAUCCAUCAUGUGUAAGUGUGUGGGUCCAUCAGACAAAUCAUGGUGAUUGUCACAAAUGCGCUCUUGUUGGUGAUAUUCAAGGUAUUCACCACCUCAAGGAUCUCCUUCCAAGUCCUUUUCCCUUCACAGAAAAAUAUGACCAUCACACAUAUCUGUCCUCUCAGCUGGGGUGGGUUUGGGUACAAUAAAUAUCUCCCAUUCCUGUAAUACUUAAGCCAAGAAAAAUGAAGUUAGAAAUCAAGCAACUACCUAGUGAGGUAGCUCCAAGGGUACAAAACAUUCAAAACACUGAUAGCAGUUCUCAUUAGUUGAAAACAGAGGUAAACUCUUUACCAAAUUCUAAAUUAAAUUUUCUAUGCCUUUUGAAAGCACUUACUACUUGAAUUUUAAGAUACUAAAUAUGUGCAUCUCUUUAAGCCAACUGAUAUGUGAAAAUACAAAUUCACA